CGGACGGGUGUAGCACGCUUCCUGUGUACUCGCGUGAAACCCAUUCAAACUGUUCUACAUGGAAAAAAUGAGAAAUGCAGAAACUAAGGCACAGGAUGGUGCAGUGAUUUGUCCGAGGUCACCCAGUAAACCAGUGACAGAGCACAGAAUAGAAUCCAGUUCUCCUGGGUCCCAGUCCAGUGAUCUGACCAUUAGGCCAUGCUUCCAGCUGGGGUAUUGCUUGUGUCCAGCCUUGUAACAUGUGAGCAAUCGAUGGGAUAGGAGUGAUGCAAUUCACCACUAACCACUGCAGAAUGGGACCACAGGAGUUUAACUCACUCAGAUUAAACACUAUAUGAUGUUACCAGAAGAAAUGCUGAUUAAAGGUGCCUUUUGUUCAGUACAUGAUUUAAAAGGUGACUCAAAAACCUGCCCUUGUCAU